UACGGAGGGUGCGAGCGUUAUCCGGAAUUACUGGGUUUAAAGGGUGCGUAGGCGGCCAGGUAAGUCAGGCGUGAAAGUUUGCGGCUCAACCGUAAAAUUGCUUUUGAUACUGCCAGGCUAGAAUUAGGAUGAGGUCAGCGGAAUGUGGCAUGUAGCGGUGAAAUGCAUAGAUAUGCCAUAGAACACCAAUUGCGAAGGCAGCUGGCUAGACCUGGAUUGACGCUGAGGCACGAAAGCGUGGGGAGCGAACAGG
rnacentral:rRNA from 1 species